AUUGUGCGAUGAUUUCCGAGGCGGGAAGAUGUUGGAAAAUUUUACCUAGCGCAAGAAUCGUCCUUUGACCUGUUGAAAUAUAAUAUUUCAGACAAGCCAAGCAUGAUUUGGGAAAGAAACUUUGUUUCACAAUGCUUAGUAAGCAUGCUUGGUAAGCAGUUUGCUCAGCCAUGUCUGCGGUUAAAUUUGGCAGCUGUCGUGAUGAGACAUGUUAUACUUCAGUUUCGGUACGUCUCGCUAUAAAAACACUGAUCUGGUGUCAGCGGAAGUUCAGUUGUGCGUCUACUUCAACUGGUCGCUGUGAGUCAAUUUGCGCGUGAGCCGUCAAAGAUUAUGUCGGGAAGACCUACACCAAAUCCCCCUCCAGAUCCGCCACCACCGUCUCCGCCACGACCGUCUUCGCCAAAUGACGGUGGCUGUAUUCUAUUUUUCUUCUAGCCACUCAGUAUGAAAUGUUCGUAUUCGAGGCUGGUGGGCGUCCUGCGCUAUACUGUAACAAGGUUGAUGCAACAGUCAAUGAAAGACUCCAAAGAUGAGCUUUUUGGAAGAGAACUAAUGAAGCCCUUCACAAGGACUGAUGUGUUCCUUAUUCUCAAGUUUCUGGAAUUAUCUACAGUUUGGAAACGUUGCACACCUUUGAUAGACUGUUUUAUUCUUAUUAAGUAAAUGGUUGUAGGUUACUGAUCUUUGUAAGUUUGAGAAAGUUUUCGGUUUAAGAGUACAGUGCAUGAAAUGCUUAGUUUUUGGUUGAGUUUGUUACUUCGAUUGAAUUUGCGGAUUUUUUCAAGUACUCUGCGAUUUUUUACAUUUUUUGGCUUAGCGCUGUUUUAUUUUACUUGAUAAGAAAGCGAUGUAAUGCUUCAGUUACAAAUUCGCUCGUGGAUGGCGCAAAAAUGUAGAGGACUUAGAGGAGAUAGAGGCAAUAAACUUGACAUAGAAAGUGA